UGGGCUAUGGUGAAAUGAUAUCACACUGGAUUUUGAUUCCAUUAUUGAAGGUUCAACUCCUUCUAGCCCUGCCAA
rnacentral:tRNA from 1 species